ACCAUCAACGCCACUGCAGUCAAGCACAAACUACUUCUGUGGGAGAUAUCACAACUGUCUUCAACACAGAGUAUUCCAAGCUAGUAUCAUCAUGCUAGUAACAACCAUGGCUCUUUGGUGAGACAUUCUUCUUAAGUACACUAUCAUUUUACAUUUACAUUUAGUCAUUAAGCAGACACUUUUAUCCAAAACAACUUACAAAUGAGGACAAUGGAAGCAAUCAAAAUCAACAAGAGAGCAAUGAAAUCCAAGUCUCAGUUAUAGUACCGCAGUACACGUAGCAAGGUUUUUUCAUUAUAUAAUAAAUAAAAAGAAAAUAGAAUGAAAAAAUAUUGCUCUAUUCUUUUUCUAAAGAAAACAAGCAGUUAGUAAAUGAAUAGAGUGCAAGUCUAAAAGGGCAAGUUUUUU
rnacentral:lncRNA from 12 species